rnacentral:lncRNA from 1 species
UUAAUGAAUUUUUGAAAAAUUACAUAAACUAACAUUUUUUUAAUACCACUUUUUAUGUUUAUUUUAAUCAUAUUUAACUUUAGUUUUAAAGAAGAUAAAUAGACAUUUAUGCCCCUAAGAUUAACUAUUAUAGAAUUAGGGUUUGGAUUUGAGGGAGAGUCUUGAAGGGUGGAGUUUAGAAUUAAAAAAAAAAACUAAAAAUUAAAAAACUAAAAAUUUGAAUAAUAGUUUUAAAAAUAAUUUUCAAAUUUCAAAAAGAAAAAAGAAAAAUAAAAAUUAGAAAAAGAAAAAUAAUUGAAUUUUCUUUUUGAAAAAAAUAGAAAGAUAAAUAAAAAAUUAUAAAAAAGUUUGAAUUAUAAAACUUAUAAUUCUAUAAUUACUAAAAAAAUUUAUUUUUAUAUUUUUAUUAUUUAAAUAACUAUUUAUAUUUAUGUAUCUAUAAAAAAAUGAAAUAAAACUCUUUUGCUAAUUUAAUGAAGAAAUUAUUUAUUAAAAUGUUCAUUUCCGUUGCAUUUUGGUAGCGAGCUAUUUUAGAACAUUCUCUUUAUAAAUCCAAACGUGAAUACCCGGC